AGCGGCUUGUAUUACAUCGCUCGACACGAUUCCAUUUUUCCUAUCUGCCGCAAUUAGAUCUCUCAAAAAGCUGCUUUUACGUAAAUUGUAUAUAUGAGCAAGCGCAUCCGCAUAAACACGAACAUUAGCUUCAUCGUUCUUUUUUUGUUCCUCAUAGAAAUAACGGACAAAGCUGUCUGGAUAAUCAUUCGUGAUACCCAAGGCUAUAAAAGCAGGAUCAUCAGGUAAGGAGGCCGAAUUGUCGCGAAAAACUGUGGUAUACA